rnacentral:tRNA from 1 species
GUUUCAAUAGUUUAAGUAAAACAUUGGUCUUGUAAACCAAAGAUAAGAAUAAUUCUUUUUAAACA